UUGGGUGCGGACAAAUGUAUAAAAUUACUAUGCGAUGAAGAUCCGUAUACAAAUGUUCAUGCGGAAGGGGAGCAUGGAUGCGUGCAUAAAAUACUGUACGCAUGCUAACAAGCAUAUAAGGAAUAUAUGGACUUCGAUGUAUGCGGAUGUAAACCCGCAUGGAGAAGCCUACGUGGAGAAUUCUGUGAACGCGUGGAUAAAAUGUCUCUGCCGGAAGUGACCCGCGUAGAAAGUAAAUGCCGACACCAGUCUUAAUGCGGAAAGGAAAAUACGCAUAAAAUUAUGCGGUGUUCGCAUCUACAGUACGAAUGAACGUAUAUGAUGUCUAUGCGGAAAGGAAAAUCCGCAUAAAGAAAAUAUGCGGACAAUCGUAUUUGAGACUAUCAGGUCAGGAUGCUUGCCUCGUGCGAGAGGGCUGUCAGAUGGAGGCGAGGAACCCACAAUCUUAUCGUGCUCCGCAGGCGCCCAUAAACAUAGACGCCCCUGCGGAGGGUUUUCUCGUCGGCGGACGGAGUGUAGGUGAUGGAGCGGAGGUCGUGGCAGAGGGCGGACUCGCUGCAGGUGACGUCCAGCGCCAUCGUGACCGGAGACUCUCCUCGACCGUCGGCGCCGAGGGCCUAGAAGGCGGGUGGCGGACGGGGUGUAUAUAGCAAUGACGGAUCUGAGGUUGCGGCGGCGGGCGAGCUCGUCGUUGGUGAUCUCUCCCGUGGCCGCCGUGACCGAAGACGCGGCGGAGGCGGCCGGCGCUGAGCGUGGAAUACCAGGUGCGAAGGAGCGCGAGGGCAGCAAUUGGGGGUGGAAGAGGGUACAACGGAGGACGGAACGAAAGAGGGUUUUACUGGAAGCGUCAAAGUCCGUUCACCUGACGCAUCGGACACGGUCAUCGUAUGUUUAAA
rnacentral:lncRNA from 1 species